rnacentral:rRNA from 1 species
GAUGAACGCUGGCGGCGUGCUUAACACAUGCAAGUCGAACGGGCUUAUUAUCUUGGAGGCUUCGGCCAAAGAGGUUUUAAGCUAGUGGCGGACGGGUGAGUAACGCGUGGAGAACCUGCCCUAUACUGGGGGAUAACAGUGAGAAAUCACUGCUAAUACCGCAUAAGCGCACGGGGCCGCAUGGCCCAGUGUGAAAAACUCCGGUGGUAUAGGAUGGCUCCGCGUUGGAUUAGCCAGUUGGCGGGGUAACGGCCCACCAAAGCGACGAUCCAUAGCCGGCCUGAGAGGGUGAACGGCCACAUUGGGACUGAGACACGGCCCAGACUCC